rnacentral:tRNA from 1 species
CCAGUGGCUCAGUGGUAAAAGCAUCUGCCUGCAAUGCAGGAGUUGCAGGUUCGAUCCCUGCAUUGGG